GUUUGAAAAUGUGGCGAGGUUGAUGCAGUGAGAUUAAUCCUUCGCGAUGUCACGUGACUCAGAAGUCCCGCAAACUAUGUUUUUUUUUAUUAUUACUUAAUUUGUACUUUACAAUUUGUCAAGCUGGGCAUUUGGUAAAUUUUCCUAACUUAAUCGCUGAAUAACAUGUGCAUGGCUACAUGCACAGCAGGGUACCAUCUUCGAGUUUGGCUAUUUUAUUUCUUCAAUGAGGUCAGUGAGGUGUUUCCUUUUUAGUCUUCUUGCUGUGAGAGACGUAUACUAUGUGUAUACCUAUAUUUCAAGAAUUUUAUUUGAUUGCGUUACUAUAAUCCUAUCCAACAGUCCCAUUUUCCAUCCGGUUAUACAUUCCACGUAAUGUUAAAAAAUGUCUCGAGCUGGAGCAAAUAUGAGAAAAUUAUUGUUGGUAAACUUCCUACUCAUACACAUAGAUUCAACAAUUCGUUAAAG
rnacentral:misc_RNA from 1 species